CAUGCAAGUCGAACGCUUUGUGGUUCAACUGAUUUGAAGAGCUUGCUCAGAUAUGACGAUGGACAUUGCAAAGAGUGGCGAACGGGUGAGUAACACGUGGGAAACCUACCUCUUAGCAGGGGAUAACAUUUGGAAACAGAUGCUAAUACCGUAUAACAAUGACAACCGCAUGGUUGUUAUUUAAAAGAUGGUUCUGCUAUCACUAAGAGAUGGUCCCGCGGUGCAUUAGCUAGUUGGUAAGGUAAUGGCUUACCAAGGCGAUGAUGCAUAGCCGAGUUGAGAGACUGAUCGGCCACAAUGGGACUGAGACACGGCCCAUACUCCUACGGGAGGCAGCAGUAGGGAAUCUUCCACAAUGGGCGAAAGCCUGAUGGAGCAACGCCGCGUGUGUGAUGAAGGGUUUCGGCUCGUAAAACACUGUUGUAAGAGAAGAAUGACAUUGAGAGUAACUGUUCAAUGUGUGACGGUAUCUUACCAGAAAGGAACGGCUAAAUACGUGCCAGCAGCCGCGGUAAUACGUAUGUUCCAAGCGUUAUCCGGAUUUAUUGGGCGUAAAGCGAGCGCAGACGGUUAUUUAAGUCUGAAGUGAAAGCCCUCAGCUCAACUGAGGAAUUGCUUUGGAAACUGGAUGACUUGAGUGCAGUAGAGGAAAGUGGAACUCCAUGUGUAGCGGUGAAAUGCGUAGAUAUAUGGAAGAACACCAGUGGCGAAGGCGGCUUUCUGGACUGUAACUGACGUUGAGGCUCGAAAGUGUGGGUAGCAAACAGGAUUAGAUACCCUGGUAGUCCACACCGUAAACGAUGAGUGCUAGGUGUUUGAGGGUUUCCGCCCUUAAGUGCCGCAGCUAACGCAUUAAGCACUCCGCCUGGGGAGUACGACCGCAAGGUUGAAACUCAAAGGAAUUGACGGGGACCCGCACAAGCGGUGGAGCAUGUGGUUUAAUUCGAAGCAACGCGAAGAACCUUACCAGGUCUUGACAUCCCUUGACAACUCCAGAGAUGGAGCGUUCCCUUCGGGGACAAGGUGACAGGUGGUGCAUGGUUGUCGUCAGCUCGUGUCGUGAGAUGUUGGGUUAAGUCCCGCAACGAGCGCAACCCUUAUUACUAGUUGCCAGCAUUCAGUUGGGCACUCUAGUGAGACUGCCGGUGACAAACCGGAGGAAGGUGGGGAUGACGUCAAAUCAUCAUGCCCCUUAUGACCUGGGCUACACACGUGCUACAAUGGCGUAUACAACGAGUUGCCAACCCGCGAGGGUGAGCUAAUCUCUUAAAGUACGUCUCAGUUCGGAUUGUAGGCUGCAACUCGCCUACAUGAAGUCGGAAUCGCUAGUAAUCGCGGAUCAGCACGCCGCGGUGAAUACGUUCCCGGGUCUUGUACACACCGCCCGUCACACCAUGAGAGUUUGUAACACCCAAAGCCGGUGGGGUAACCUUCGGGAGCCAGC
rnacentral:rRNA from 1 species